rnacentral:rRNA from 2 species
CCUGAAUCCAUUUCGAACUCAGAAGUGAAAACGCUUAGCGCCGAUGAUAGUGCGGGGUUUCCCCGUGCGAAAGUAGGACACUGCCAGGC